rnacentral:rRNA from 1 species
AACGAACGCUGGCGGCAGGCCUAACACAUGCAAGUCGAACGGAUGUAGCAAUACAUUAGUGGCGCACGGGAGAGUAACACGUGGGAAUCUACCUUUUGGUUCGGAAUAACGUCGGGUAACUGACGCUAAUACCGGAUAAGCCCUAAGGGGGAAAGUUUUUCGCAAAAGGAUGAGCCCGCGCUAGAUUAGCUUGUUGGUGAGGGAAUGGCUCACCAAGGCUACGAUCUAUAGCUGGUAUGAGAGGAUGACCAGCCUCACUGGGACUGGGACACGGCCCAGACUCCUACGGGAGGGAGAAGUGGGGAAUAUUGGACAAGGGGGGAGGCGAAGAGCGAGCCAUGACGCGUGAAUGAUGAAGGCCGUGGGGUUGUAAUGUUCUUUUAGUAGGGACGAUGAUGACGGUACCUACAGAAUAAGCUCCGGCUAACUUCGUGCCAGCCGCCGCCGUAA